ensembl:lncRNA
UCUGACUGGCCUCGACUGAAGAUGGUCGUCUCACUGGAUUUAAGAUGCACAAUGAGGGACGUCUGCAGAGACUGAGAAAGAGUCUCACCACAUCCUGACAUGAGGAAAAAGACUUUAUUGAAGACUACAAUGAGAAAAACUAUCAGGCAGCAGACGGCAUGCAUUCAAGGCUACAGGAGGAGCCCUACGAGGACGAGCCGGUCCACCUGAUGGCGGCCAGUCGCUGCGGUUCAAAGCCAACACCGACUACGUGGACUUCUACUGGACCACACGGAGGCCUUCAAACCGGACCAACAAGUUCAGCGACUCCCCGACUCGUGGGUCUGAGGACGCCGCCGAGCCUCGGUCCAGCCGGCCUCCUGUCUGUGGGUGUUUGAGUGCUGAGAGACCUGACCGUGAACACCGUUGACACCUACCUGAGGGAGACGCUGUCUAAGAUCUCAAGGCUGCUUGGUCGUGGUCUUUCUGGCCCUGCUCCAGAACGCCUUCAUCAACUACGUCUUCUUUUGAAGAGGCC